GAUCCUGGCUCAGGAUGAACGCUAGCUACAGGCUUAACACACGCAAGUCGAGGGGCAGCGGGAUUGAAGCUUGCUUCAAUUGCCGGCGACCGGCGCACGGGUGAGUAACGCGUAUCCAACCUUCCGUACACUCAGGGAUAGCCUUUCGAAAGAAAGAUUAAUACCUGAUGGUAUGAUGAGAUUGCAUGAUAGCAUCAUUAAAGAUUUAUCGGUGUACGAUGGGGAUGCGUU
rnacentral:rRNA from 1 species